rnacentral:tRNA from 1 species
GAGAGGUGGCCGAGCGGUUUAAGGCGUUAGUCUUGAAAACUAAUAUACGGGAAACUGUAUCGAGGGUUCGAAUCCCUCCCUCUCC